UUAUUUAAAAAAAAUGAUCAAAAAAUGGUAUAAAAUUUAAUACACACUACCACAGGUCAGUCAAAAAAAAACUCAAAAUGAAACUUUUAAUAUUUACUGUUUUCCUACUUUCUGUGACACUUUAUAAUUAUGUUUCAGGAGAGAUAGAAUGCUACGAUUGUGUUGGUGAUGAGCUUUGUUCGAAAAGUUUGGAGGAACAGAAAGUCACUUGUAGCUCCCAACAAAAUUAUUGUGUCAGUGGAUGGAAAAAUAAUAAAGGCAAUAAAUUAAAAUUCAAAGGUUGUUCUUACGCAAAGAACGAAGAGCGUGCACAAGAAUUCUGCAACUAUUUUAUCAAACAAGGAGGCGAGUGUAAAUGAUGUGAAGAGAAUUAUUGUAACGAGAAAACAACUUGGGAAGAAUAAUAAUAAAAAAUAAAGUGUGAAGUAACUUUG